UACAGAGGUCCCAAGCGUUGUUCGGAUUCACUGGGCGUAAAGGGUGCGUAGGUGGCGGGGUAAGUCGGAUGUGAAAUCUCCGAGCUCAACUCGGAAAUGGCAUUGGAAACUACCUUGCUCGAGGGUUGGAGGGGGACUGGAAUACUUGGUGUAGCAGUGAAAUGCGUAGAUAUCAAGUGGAACACCAGUGGCGAAGGCGAGUCCCUGGACAACUCCUGACACUGAGGCACGAAAGCUAGGGGAGCAAACAGG
rnacentral:rRNA from 1 species